rnacentral:lncRNA from 1 species
UUUCCUUAUAUGAAUAUCUAAUAGGUGCCAAGCUAUUUUGUUGAAGGUAAUUUUCAAUAUUUUCAUACAUUGAUGUAUGUCUUUUUCUCCAUUUACAUAUAAAAAUAACAAUUAAAAAUGGCAAUCCAAACAAAAGUUUGUAGACCCAUAAUAUAGAGAUAUACAUGAGAAUACCUGUAAUAAAUUUUUACUUUAGUGACACUUAUACUAUAAAAUGCAACAAGGUAUUUGUUAAAGUAAAUUUUCGUUCAUAAAGUCCAAACAUGACAUAUCUAUUUACUUGGUAACAUUACAAAAAGAGUAAAUUUAAUGUUUAGCAUAAACAAUUAUCAAUAAAUUUCUUUUUUUUAUGUUACUCUUUAUAUAAAUAAAUUUUUUCUGUAACAUUAAUGUGUCCUAAAACCUAAUUCAGUGAUGGUUGUAAAAUAUAAAAAAAAAACAGAUUUUUUUUAAAUAAUUUAUUUGUUUCUAUAAACAUUUUAAAUUCAAUUUGUGUUUCUUUAACUUUUUUAACGUAUUUACUAUAACUUUUUGUUAUUUACUACAACUUUUUGUCUUCUCUUAUUUCCUAACAUUAGUUCCUACAGGUUCGAUAUUCAUCAUUAAAAACAAAUUAUUACUUCUAAUUCGGUACACUUGCUGAAUUAAAGAGUAAUCAACUAUCCCAAAUAUUGAAUAAAUAACUUUCUUAAAGAGUAAAAAUCACAAUAUAAAAAAUGUUAUCAAAUAAAAAUUAGUCAUAAUAGAAAUUUCUUAACAGACUAUAAUCUAUUGUUUUGCAAAUGUUGAGAGGGAAAAUACCUCGAAGAUUUGAGUCUGGGAUAUUUGACAUGGUGAACCCUUAAAAGAUAAAGUGCAAUCUUGUGUAGUAUGAAAAGUUCUUGAAAUAAACUAAAUUAAAAAAUAAGAAAAAAUAAUAAAUUUUUAGAUUACUUAAUAAACUAAAGAUUUACAAAUUUAAUUUAAAAAAUUGAGGUUUACAAUGUAAUUCAUCAUUUGAAGAAAAUCAGAAAAGUGUGUAAUUAAGAUUAUUGUAUAGUAAAAGAAUAGUUUUUUUAAAAUGGAAUGAAUCAAAUGACUGACAAGAACAAUAAAAAUAAGUUUUAAUAGGUUGUUUAAUAAAUUAAAUAUAUUUCAGUAAUUUAAAAUGAAAACGGAUAAUUCAUAUCCAAUUUAAAAUAUUAGAUAUUAUUUACAAUUGUGCCCAAUCAAUACGGAAAUUAAAAUUUAUCUAUUAAAAAAAAAGUUAAACUUUCAACAAUAUUUUUUAGUAUAAUUGUUCUCAUAUAUUACUUUCACCAAACAGUUCAUAUUAUAACCAAUCAUUGAAAGGGUGAAAAUUUUAUAUUAUAACCAAUCAUUGAAAGGGUUGAAAAUUUUAAAACUAAAAUAGAAUUAAAAAUGACAGUUUAAUCUAAUAAAUUCUAAAUCUUAAAUCAUAAACUAUUGUAAAAAAUGCUUGGAAAUUUUUAAAAACAAAAUAAAAUUUUAAAAAAAAAACAGAGAAUUGUAUCUUGAACCGUAGCCAAAUCUUCUAUUUUUUAACAUUUCUGUAAAUGAAAAUUUUAGAACUAUUAAUAAAAGUCUAUUUUAAUCAUUUUUGUGUAAUUAAAGAAUUUAGAAAUUAAGAUGAUAAAAUUGUACCUGGUAUACAGAAUUUUAGCACUUCCAGCAGUGGCAGACUAAAUGAGCCUGAAAUGAAGGAAAAUAUGAAGUUUAGAAUAGUGGUGAUCUCUACAGUUUGAUAAAGGUUAUAGCGGUCAAUAAGUUUAACAGUUACUUAUUUUAAAGAAAAUAAAUGUUUAAUUUAAUGCAUAUGUUCUUAUAAAUACACGUAAAAUAUAAAAGAUACAAAAAUUGGUUUAAACUAAUUGUUUACAAGCUUUUCAGUUAAUUUAAAUGUAUAUUUAGAAGAUUUAAACUACAUGAGUAAGGAGCAUAAUAACGUGCUUAUCUAAAAAAAUUGGUUAAUAUAUUUUGGUUUAGGAUCACUCACCUUUGAUGCAUUGAAGCUUGUGGUUAGAAGAGUCGACAUAGCAAUCUCUAUCAUCAUCUGGACAAUGUUUCUGACAGACGAGUUGUAUCCAUGAAAUCUCGAAUCCAUAGGCGAGUGCGGUGUGAAUGGAAGAGUAGGAAUGGUUAUCGAAAGUGGAGAGAGAAGUGGGAGCAACAAGCUUUACCUCACACCCAACUUCUAAGUCCUCUGCUUUUAGGUCUCCACCAAUUGCAUAUGAAUACCCCUUCCCCUCCCACUUCACCCACUCUCCACUCUCCACAUACUUCUCUUUCUCUCUCACCGAAUGGUUACAAUUCACAAACACUAUAUGCGAGAAACUCAGAGAUUCCCAAUUUAUAGAGGCAUCUAGACCGGCUUGGUAUGGAUUCGAGUGGUAAAAGGAAGUGUAAGUGUCAGAGAAAUUGGAGCGAGAGAGGAAACGGAGAGGAAGGGAGGAGAGAUUAUGGUGCUGCAGAGCAGGAUCAACAACUCUCACUGUGUAGUUCUUGUAGUUUAUUGACUUCACAUGAUAUUGUCCAGAGUACAGAUACAACACCGUAAAGUUAUGCUCACAACCAAGUUCAUACCUUUCCUCACCACACUUUUCUGGGUCGCCUUUUAAUCGAAAUGGAUAACUGAUGUUGCUGAUUUUACCACAGGAAGAAGGGGGACAAACGUGUUCUUGGUGGUCCUUGGUAGCAGAAAUAUGGUGGAGUAGAAGUAGCAGUACCACCAACACUGCUCUCUCUCUCCACAUCAUGUCCAGACUGUUUCUCACUGAAUUCAAGUGCAAACAAAUCCAAGUUAGAUAUUUAUAUUUAAACAUCACACACUGAAUUUAUAGCUAUAAAGGACCACAUUUUUCCUUUUACAAAAUUGUUUGAAGACUUAUGAUACUUAAAACGUAGACUUUGACUCAGAAACCGCGUUAUCUUGUUUCCGCAACUCAUUUUAAUCCAUACAAAAUUUUAAAUAUUCGUGAAGUGCAUGAAUUUUGAUUUCGGUAUUUAAUCAUCUAAUUUUGUUGAUGGUGUUCUUUGAGUUUCUGAAACCAUCCUAAAUUGUUUGUUUUAAAAGCUUAUAUUUUGAAAAAUAAUUUUAAUGACCUUAGAAUUUCUGUGAGUCCCAAAAUAAUGUUUGUUUGGUUAAGAAACUUCAACAUGUGAUAGGUACAUAAAUUGUUUUAGUGAAUUUUUCCCCGAAAAUGGCCUCAUAUGUUUCUUUGUGUUAAUUUCUUGAACAUAUUCUUCUUGGACAUGGGAGCAAGAAAGAGUGUGUGGUGGGAGAACGAAGCACUAACAAUUUUCUGUAUGUGUAAAAGGUAAAGGAGAGGGAAAAACAUAUGGAAGCAAUUCCAAACACGUAACCCAAAAUUCCAGCAUACUUUUCAACUUGUGGCCUUGAAAACUCAAUAAUUAAAAGUGCGUUUCGAAGAAUUUGACGUAGAUCUCCAAAAUUAUAAUGUCGCAAAAAUGUAUAUGACCUUGUGGACUUUGACCUUGAUAAAGUUAAUAAAAGUGAACAACUCAGAGAUAAUUCUUGAUAGAAUUAAACACUUGAGUUACAUAGGAUGAGCCGUGAGAUCCUCACUCGGCUAAUUAGUAAUUGAAAGAAUAAAAAAUCAUUAAGCAAUUUUUUUUGGUAGAAAAGCUAGCAGGAAAUUUCUAAACCAUGUUUUCUGCAUGCAGGUAUCAAAACCCUCAAGUGCAUGUAGUUUCAUUUGAUGUGGUUGUCAUUAAUACUUCAUGAUCCUCUUCAUCUUGUUCGUGAUUACUAUCUUCUUGAGCACAAUUGGAAGCAUGAUUAUCACCUUUUGAUCUGCACUUAUUUGCAUAAUGGCCACGUUUAUGGCAAUUAUAACACUNNNNNNNNNNNNNNNNNNNNNNNNNNNNNNNNNNNNNNNNNNNNNNNNNNNNNNNNNNNNNNNNNNNNNNNNNNNNNNNNNNNNNNNNNNNNNNNNNNNNACAUGGUAGCUAUUUCAGCAAAGGUCGUGGUGGCUAAAAUCAUGGAGGCGCUUGACGCGGGGGACGUGGUCGCGGAGGACGAGGAGGCAUUUAUAAUAAAUCAAAUGUUGAGUGUUAUAAUUGCCAUAAACGUGGCCAUUAUGCAAAUAAGUGCAGAUCAAAAGGUGAUAAUCAUGCUUCCAAUUGUGCUCAAGAAGAUAGUAAUCACGAACAAGAUGAAGAGGAUCAUGAAGUAUUAAUGACAACCACAUCAAAUGAAACUCCAAACAAUCAGACUUGGUAUUUGGAUACAGGUUGCACGAAUCAUAUGUGUGGUCAGAAGGAGCUGUUUGCAGAUUUGGAUGACUCAUUUCGAACAAAAGUGAAAUUCGGUGAUGACAGGUUCGUUCCGGUGAUUGGAAAAUGGUGAAUUCUUAUUACAUUAAAGAAUGGUGAUCACAGGUACAUUUAUGAUGUUUUCUAUGUACCUGACAUGAAAAGUAAUCUGUUGAGUGUGGGACAACUGGCUGAAAAGGGUUACGUGAUGCACAUAGUUGAAAAUAAAUUCUCAAUUUUUGAUAGGUAAUUUGAUUCUUAAAACCUUUUUAUCAAAAAACCGCAUGUUUCCAGUAGAUAUUCAUAUGGGUGAUUUAAAGUGCUUGAAUGUAAUAAUGAAUAAUGAAUCGUGGUUAUGACAUUUACGCUUUGGGCACUUAAAUUUUCAGAGUUUGGAAAAUCUUUCCAAAAGAAAUUUAGUGAAUGGUUUACCCCAUAUUUAUCACCCUAAUCAAUUGUGUGAGGCUUGCAUCUUUGGAAAGAAUCACAGGAUACCAUUUGUUAAGGAGUCUUGGCGUGCAAAAUUUCCUUUGGAGCUUGUUCAUACAGAUGUUUGUGGCCCGAUGAACAUAUCAUCAGUUGGAGGUAAUAAGUAUUUUUUAACCUUUAUUGAUGAUUUUUCAAGGAAAACCUGGAUUUAUGUAUUGAAAAGCAAGGAUGAGGUAUUCCACUGCUUUAAAAUAUUUAAAGCAUUUGUUGAAAGAGAGAGUGNNNNNNNNNNNNNNNNNNNNNNNNNNNNNNNNNNNNNNNNNNNNNNNNNNNNNNNNNNNNNNNNNNNNNNNNNNNNNNNNNNNNNNNNNNNNNNNNNNNNUGAUGGAGCGACCAAGAAGGCAACAACGACAACCUGUACACCUUCAAGAUUGUGAAGUAAAUCUUGAUGGUGAAGUUGAUGACAAUGGAGAUUUAGUUCACUUUGCUUUUCUUGCAGAAUCAGAACCUGUGAGACUUGCCGAUGCCAUUCAACACCCGAAAUGGCAAAAGGCUAUGAAUGAAGAAUUGAUGGCGAUUGAGAAAAACAAUGUCAUGACUCAAAUUGGGAAGGUUGUUCCAAAUCAGAAUUAAGGGAGGAUGUUGGUUAUUAAUUCAUAUUUUAUUAUUAUUAAUUCAGAUUUUAUUACCCUUAAACUAUUUUACCGUUAUAUUGCAUUAAUGGUCAAUUUACAGGCCUGUUAGUAUUCCUAUUUUAUAGCUUCCAGUAAUUGUGAUUUUAUUAUAUAUAUGAUUGAGUAAAUCAAAAUGAAUAACUUUAGUUUUGUAAUUUUUUGCAAUUACGUUCAAUCGGUUGCUAUAACCUUUUGCCUUCUCUUAUUUCCUUCAAUUAGUUCCUACACACUCACCAUUUAACGUUUUGUAUAAAGUGACGUUUUAUGUGUAUAAUUAAAAUUGUCGUAAUUUAUUUGAUCGGAAAACGAUUUCAGUGAAAAAACAACACAUAAACAUCACUAUAUACUAUACAAUAUGAUGUUUUUAACUAUCAUUAUUUUAAGAAAAAUUUGAAAAACAAUACUUAAGUUUCAAUAUACGUAAAUUGAAUACUAAAUAAAUAGAAUUCAGUCACCAAUUUAUAAUCUCAUUAUUUAAUAAAUUUGUUUUCAUAAUUAAACAACUAAACAAAUUUAUAAUACCAUUUAAUUAAAUCUAUUUUCACAAUAAAAAAAUUAAAUACUACUCAUAGUUAUAAUAAACAUUCAUUUAUUGCAUUGAAAACUGAACACAAAAUUAAUAGUUGUUCAAAAGUACACCAAGAUAAAUACACAAAAUAUUUUUAAAUAUGAUAACAUCUUAUUAGACUAUUACAAUCAUCUUCCUUAAUAUUUACUUCCACCACUUGAUUCUAUUAUUUUGUUGGGUGAUAAAGCACAAUUUCCAACCUAAGGUGCCUACAUCUAAUGCUUAAAAUAGAUAAAAAAUAAUUUCAGAUUAUUCAUUUUCAAUUUUUAUAAUUAUAAAAUAAAAGAAGACAUUAAUAAUAAAUAUUUAAGUAUAUUAAGUUAUACCUCAUUCCAAUUGACAUAAUUUUAGGUUAUUUGAAAAACCUUUCUUUAACAUCAUUAAAAGUUCUAGAUGUAUUAUAAACUAGAGAGUUAUAAAAAUAAAGAAAUGUAUUUUUCUAUUCAAGAAUAACAAUUAAAUAUACAAUCAUUGUAAUUUUGAAUUUCUUUACAGUUUUUAUUAAAAAAAAUUACAAUUGCAAUUACAACUACAACUAAUUUAUUUUAUUGUUAUCCUUAAUGGGAUGUUUUUUCUUACUCUUGAAAGAAAUAAAAUAAUGUAUAUAUUUGUAGUAGGCAAAGCUGUAGUAGGCAAAUAUAGGUUUCAAUAUUUUUCCAUCUUCUAGCCUGAAACAAUCUCAAAUUAUAGAAAAGCUUAGCAUUUAGUUUGCUAAAUGUAGACAACACUAAUAAUUAGCAAGAUAUUGAUUCUAAUUAUCUAGUGGUCUGUUGGAGAGAGUUCAUAAAAUUUAGUUAAAGCGAGAUUGUAGAUAAUCUGCUGAAAAGAGUUAUUUAUGUAUUUUUCAUUAAUUUCUCAUAGAAAUUAAUAGUAAACGCUCUCUCAACCAUUUAAACAAAUGUCAUUUUAAUGUACAAUCAACAAACCAAUGUCAAUGAAGUCUAUGUUUCGUUAAAGCCACGUAAGAUUUUACUUGAGUGAAUGAAUAUUAUGGUAAAGAAUACUUUGUUUUAGAUGAUUAAGGCAAGUAAAAUAAGAAUAUGGAAUGUGUGUACGGUAAGUUCGUUAAUUUAAGAUUUAUUCAUAAAGAAUCAUUUCAUUGAUAUAAUAGGUUUCUAUUUGUUCUUAGAUUUUUUUAUGAAUAAAUAUAGUCUACUCAUAUAUUGUUUUUGUUAACACAUGAAUUUUAAUAUAGUUUUUUAUUUUUAUUUUUUAUUUUUUUUAAUAAUAUAUUUUUUCAUGUGAUGACACUCACAUAUUAUUGCUAUUACUUGAGGUGUCAACCUAACUGAAAUUUCAAGUUAUAUAAUGAUGCUUGACAUGAAAGUUUUUUAUAAAAAAAAAAUAAAAAAAUUAUAUUUGGUUCAUACAUAUACAUUAUAUACAUUUGAUCCAUUUAGAUAGUAACGUUCUAAUGAAAAAGUAAAUUUAAUAUACUUAAACAAAUAUCAAUAUAUUUGGUUGUUGGAGUUGCUAAAUAUAAUGUGUUUCUUUUUCCUAUGCCACAAGAAAAUUUUGUCUUUAACAUUGGUAUACAUAUCUUAGACCAAAUUGACAAAUGGUUACCGAAAUUGAAAAAUAUUUUUUUAGUAAAAUAUGUUUUUCGUCAUUCUAAAUUUUUUUAAACAGUUUUUCUUUCAAUUAUUUUGACUUAUUUUCAUACAUCUGUUUGGAAUUUGAGUUUUGGUUCUGGAGGUAACAUUUAAUAGCGUUUAUUAAGCACUAUUCAAACUACUCUAAAUAUAAAAGUGGUAUAUUUUAAAAAUAAUGGAAAAAAUAUUUAGAGUGAUAAAAAUAUAAUUUUGAGAAAUAUAAAUAAAUAAUAUUUUUUUUCUGCGUUUGUUUAUUGCAACGUAGGGAUCAGAAUAAACAAAUUAAGCCAAUUUUAUGUAUGUCCACUUCUUUUACUGCAAACUAUAGCAUAUAAAAAUUCUUGUCCAGAUGAUAUUAAAAUUAAAAAAAACUGUAAAUUAAGUUGUUGUAAAGUGUGUGAACUUUAUAUAUAUCUCUUAUAAUUAAAGCAUAGGUAAAUUAAGGUGAUAAAAAUUGUAAAUAUAAUUUUAAGGAAUUAGUUUGAGAACCCAAUUAAAGAAGUAUUUCAUGACUUACUUAAAUAAAGACGAGACAUAAAUAUAUUAUAGUAAAUAAUGGAAAAAUGAUCGAAAUAAAUUUUUAUAUCCUGAUUGAGAAACAAUAUUAAUAAUGCAUUUGAUUUUUUUUGUACUUUAAAUAUUUCCAAAUUAUUCUAGGACUAAAAGUUCCACCACAUGUAGAACUGUGGCGGAAAUAUCUUUCCAUUAAUAUCGUGUGUCUUAUAUAAACACUUGAUAUGCACGUAUAUAAUUGACGCAGUCAAAUGACAAUAUACUUUGAAAUUAAUAAUUAUUGAUUUAUUUUUAUCAGUUGAACGUAGGUAUACACUAACAUUUAAUUUAAUGUGUUAAAAUUUUCACAUCCAUUAAAAAUUAGAAUAUUAAAUGAAUACAAAAUAUAAUCCAAACUCUCUAUCGAAGUUAAAUGAAUUUGAACAAAUCAUAUAACUAAUUCGACAUCAGAAUUCAUAUGUUCUUUUCAUCAGACAACAACAACCCAAGUUGUGUGGCUUCUUCCUCAUCAUCAACUUAUAAUUUCUAACCUCUCUGGUACGCUUGUUAUUACAAGGCUAUUUUUUUUUUUUCAAAUUCCAUAUAUUAUGUAUUGUAAAACACAUAAAUUCUUUUAGGUGAAACUUAUGUGUCAACUUUCAAUCAAUAUUCACUGUCGGUCAUUAAUUCAAAUUUUAUUUACUAAAUUAGAGUUUGAAUUAGUCUUGAAUUGUUGUCCUAGUUUACAGUCAGUAUUACGUUAGUGGUUUUGAAAGUGUACAAGGCUAUUAGUAUUGUGUUAGUGUUUAGUUAUUACUUAUAUUUUAUAGUUUUUGGUAGUUGUAAUUUUAUUUUUAUAUAUUGUCGAAGUAAAUCAACAAAAUGCAUGCAGUAUAUUGUCUUCUAUUAUUUCUUUCAAACAGUUUCUACAAUUGUUAUCAAAUCCAGAUUGUCUGUUAUCAUGAAAUCUACCUAAUUAUUGGUCCCUAUCUUUGAUUGAAAAAAAUUACAAUCGAUGAUGCGUGCAGAUGAGAGUUUUGUUCGAUUAUCAUGAGUUAUGGGAUGUCAUUGAGAAUGGAGUGUCUGCAUUAGCUGCUAAUGCAACUGAGACGCAAUGAGUAGCGCAUCGUGACCAGAAGAAGAAGGACAAUAAGACUUUGUGUCUCAUCUAUCAAGGGAUGAAUGACGAAACCUUUGAGCAGAUAAAAGGAGCAACAACUGCAAGUGAAGCUUAGACCAUUUUGUUAACCAAUUAUAAAGGCGAUGACAAGAUCAAGAGGGUGUGCCUUCAAACUUUAAGACGCCAAUAUGAACUGCGGUAGAUGGAAACCACAAAGACUGUUGAUGUUUAUAUCAAUAGAGUUCUUGCCUUAACGAAUGAGAUGAAGACCAAUAGUGAAACACAUUCGGAGCAGGCAAAGGUGGAGAAGAUUUUGAGGUCUUUAACUCCCAUAUUUGAACAUGUUGCCGCAAUUGAAAAGGCCAAUGCCCUUUUAACAAUGACAGUAAGGUUAUUGUCCGGUUCCCUACGAACGUAUGAGUAGUGGAUGAAUGACAAUAAGAUUGAAAAACCAAUUGAACAGGCUUUACAAGCACAAUCCUCAAUUCCAAGCCUCAAUUGGUAACUCCUAUCAUAAGCACGGUAGUUCACAAGGUAGAGGACGUGGACGUGGUGGUAGCUAUUCCAAUAAAGGUUGUGGUGGCCAGAACCAUGGAGGUGCUGAGCAAAACAACACUGGUUCCAAUCACAAUCUGAGUUCAAAUAACUCUUGGCGCGAAGGACGUGGUCGCGGAGGACGUAGGGACAUGUAUAAUAAAUCAAAUGUGUAAUGUUAUAACUACCAUAAGCGCGACCAUUAUGCAAAUGAAUGUAGAUCAAAAGGUGAUAAUCAUGCUGUCAAUUGUGCUAAAGAAGACUAUAAUCACGAACAAGAUCAAGAGGAUCAUGCAUUACUAAUGGUAGCCAUAUCAAAUGAAACUCCAAACAAUCAGACGUGGUAUUUAGAUACAGGUUGCAAGAAUCAUAUGUGUGGUCAGAAGGAGCUGUUUGCAUAUUUGGAUGACUCAUUUCGCACAAAAGUGAAAUUCGGUGAUGGCAGAUUCGUUUCGGUGACUGGAAAAGGGCAGAUUCUUAUCACAUUGAAGAAUAGUGAUCACAGGUAUAUCUAUGAUGUUUUCUAUACCUGAUAUGAGAAGUAAUCUAUUGAGUAUGAGACAGUUUGCCGAAAAGGGUUACGUGAUGCACAUAGUUGAAAAUCAAUUCUCAAUUUUUUAUAAAGAAGGUAGCUUGAUUCUUAAAUUUUUUUUAUAAAAAAAUCGCAUGUUUCUAGUAUAUUUUAAUAUGGGUGAUUUCAAGUGCUUGAAUGCAAUAAUGAAUAAUGAAUCGUGGUUAUGACAUUUACGUUUUGGCCACUUAAAUUUUCAGAGUUUGGAAAAAUCUCUCCAAAUUGGUUUACCCCAUAUUCAUUACUCUGAUCAAUUGUGUGAGGCUUGCAUUUUUGGAAAGAAUCACAGGAUACCAUUUGUUAAAGAGUCUUGGCGUGCGAAAUUUCCUUUGCGCUUGAUCAUACAGAUGUUUGUGGUUUGAUGAACAUAUCAUCAAUUGAAGGUAAUUCGUAUUUUCUAACCUUUAUUGAUGAUUUUUCAAGGAAAACCUUUGAAAAACAAUGAUGAGGUAUUCCACUACUUUAAAAUAUUUAAAGCAUUUGUUGAAAGACAUAGUGGCAGACUAAUUAAGAUGGUGCGUAGUGAUGGAGGGGUGAGUACAAGUCUAAUGAGUUCAAAAGACAUUGUGAAGAACUUGGGUUGCAGCAUAACAUAACAUGUCCCAACACUCCUCAACACAACGGAGUAGCCGAGAGAAAGAAUAGAACAAUCAUGGAUAUGGCGAGGAGCAUGCUUAAAGCGAAAGGUAUGCCAAAUUAUUUUUGGGCUGAAGCUAUAACAUGUGAGGUAUAUUUGAUAAACAUAUCACCCAUUUGGAGUGUUCCUAACACAACUCCGAUUGAGGCAUGGAGCGGAUUCAAACCCAAUGUGCAACACUUGAAGGUAUUUGGGUCAAUUACUUAUGCUCAUGUCCCCAAGGCAACAAGAUCGAAGUUGGAUGAUAAGGCAAUGUAGAUCACUUUCAUUGGAUAUAAGCAUGGGGGAUACAAACUGUACAAUCCAAUGACAAAGAAUGUGAUUGUUAGCCGUGAUAUUACAUUUGCCGAAGAUGAGGAAUGGCAAUGGAAUGCAGCAGUUGAAAUGGAUUCGAAAAAACGAUAUAUUUACAUUUUGAACGAUGAUGUGAAAGAUGGAGUAACUCUUGAAGCACCUGUCGUUCAACCUGAAGUUGUAAUUCAACUUGAAGUUGCAGCUCCAAUUGCAACUACGAUGGAGCGACGAAGAAGGCAACAACGACAACCUGUACUCCUUCAAGAUUACGAAGUAAAUCUUGAUGAUGAAGUUGAUGACAAUGGAGAAUUGAUUCACUUUGCUUUACUUGCAGAUUUAGAACCCGUGAGACUCGCAAAUGCCAUUCAAUACCCCAAAUGGCAAGAGGCUAUGAAUGAAAAAUUGAUGGCGAUUGAGAAAACAAUACAUGACAACUCACUGAUCUUCCGAAAGGACACAAAGCAAUUGAUGUGAAGUGGGUGUACAAGAUUAAAGUGAAAGCAAAUGGUGAGAUUGACAGAUACAAGGCAAGGUUGGUAGCAAAAGGAUUUGAGCAAAGAGAAGGCUAUGAUUACGAAGAAAUAUCUUCUCCUAUAGCUCGAAUGGAAAUAGUGAGAUUAAUCAUUGCUUUGGUUGCACAAAGGCAAUGGAAAAUUCACCAAAUGGAUGUCAAGUAUGCGUUUCUAAACGACCUACUUGAUGAAGAGGUUUAUGUAAAGCAGUCGUCGGGUUUCAUACAAUCCGGCAAAGAGGAGAAGUUGUACAGACUAACUAAGGCUUUAUAUGGUCUUAAACAGACACCAAGAGCUUAGAACAAAAGGAUUGAUUCAUUUUUCUUCAUGCCACUGGAUUAAAAAAAUGUGCAUCAGAUCAUGGUCUUUAUGUAAAGACUAAUGAUUAUGGAGAUUUGCUAAUUUUAUAUCUCUAUAUUGAUGAUGUGAUUUUUACAGUAAGUAAUCUCAAAAUGAUUGGUGACUUCAAGCAUAUCAUGAUGAAGGAAUUUGAGAUGUCUGAUCUCGGUCUUAUGUCCUACUUUUUGGACAUUGAAGUCAUCCAAGGAGACGAUAAAAUCUUUAUUCAUCAGAGAAAAUUUGCUGCUGAGUUUUUAAAGAAGUUUAAGAUGGAGGAUUCAAACUCAGUUAAGACUCCAAUUGAAACUGGAAUUCAGCUUACGAAGGAAGGUGACUCACUUGUACUAGACUCGACUUAUGUUAUGCUGUGGGAUUGGUUCGUCGGUACAUGGAGUCACCUCGACGGGUUCAUUUACAAGUUGUAAAUAGAAUUAUGCGCUACAUCAAAGGUACUACAACUCUUGGUCUAUUUUACUUUUCAUCUAAGAAGAUUGAGAUUGUCGAAUACUCAGAAAAUGAUUGGGGUAGAGAUUGAGACGAGAGGAAGAGCACGAGUGGUCAUUGUUUUAUGCUCGGAAAAACUGUUUGUUUGUGGUCAUCAAAAAAACAGUCAAUUAUUGCAUUAUCCACUUGUGAAGCUGAGCAUGUAACAGCAGCAACAAGUGCUUGUAAAUCAAUUUGGCUCAACAAUAUUAUGACUCAAAUUGGUAUUAAUCUCGAUGUUCCAAUCAAUAUUUAUUUUAACAAUGUCUCUGCAAUUAAUCUAGCAAAAAAUCCGGUUUUUCAUCAAAGAAGUAAACACAUUGAUUUUCGAUAUCACUUCCUGCGAGACCAAGUUAGGAAGAACAAAUUAGAAUACUGCAGAUCAGAAGAUCAGAUAAUAGAUAUUCUAACUAUGCCAUUGAAGAUCGAUGCUUUCAUCAAGUCAAGAGAUCUGUUGGGCAUGAAGGUUGUUGGUCAUUAAUUCAAAUUUUAUUUUUACUAAAUUAGAGUUUAAAUUAGUCUUGAAUUGUUGUCCUAGUUUACCGUUAGUAUUGCGUUAGUGAUCUAGUGGUUUUGAAAGUGUAGUCCUAGUUUAUAAGGUUGUUAGUAUUGUGUUAGUGUUUAAUUAUUGCUCCUAUUUUGUAGCUUCUGAUAGUUGUAAAUUUUUUUUUUAUAUAUUGUAAAAGUAAAUCAACAAAAUGUAUGAGUUCAGUACUAUAUUGCCUUCUAUUAUUUCUUUCCAAUAGUUUCUAUACUUUCUACCAAAUAAUCUGUGAUAAAUUCCCUUUUGUACAAAAAGGAAAACAAUUUGAUGUAAAUAGUCGAAAAUUGAUCAAAGAUGGUUCUAUUCUUGAAAACCUAAAUUUAUAAGAAAAUUGACAUAUUAAAAAGAAAAUUCAGUGUAGAUUAGAAUUUAUGUUAUUAUUUUAAAGUGUCAAUAAAAAUAUUGUUGUAUCGAUGAGCCUAUCAUCUGCUUAAGACUAAGGUUGUGUACUCAUAGGUCAAGGUUCAACCCUUGCCAUCAGAAAUAUUAUCUAAACUGAAAGAGUUAUUAGGGUUAUUUGGUUUCAACGAGUGAUUUACGAGAAGAAAGAAACUUUCACAAAUCAAAUAAUAAAAAAUUAAUAAAUUUUUUAGAAAAAAGAUUAAACCUUAUUUUUUCACAAAUAUGCAAAAUUUUGUGGAAAAUCAUGGUUAAAAUAUAUAUUAUAUUAAAUAUAUAUUUUAUAAUUAUUAUAUUAAAUAUACAUUAUUAUUUCCUUUAUAUUCAUAUUCAUAUUUAUAUUUAUAUUAUAAUAAAAUAAGUAUAAUUAACUAUGUAAUAUAAUAUAAAUAAUAAUAAUUAUUAAAAUAUUAAUAAAUAUAUAUAAAAUGAUAAUUAAAAUAAAAUACUAAUAAUAAAUUUAUGAAAUAACAACUAUAAUAAAAUAAUUAAAAAAGUUAUAAAUAAUAAAUAAUAAUUAUAAAAAUAAAUAAUAGUAAUAAUAGUAAAAUUAAAAUUAUUAAUUAAUUAUAAAAUUAUUAUCUUUUAUUUAGUUAAAAUUAAUUUAUAUUAAUAUAAUUAAAUUCAUUAUUAUCUAUAAAUCUAUAAAUAUAUAUAUAUAUAUAUAUUAUUUUAUAACUUUUAAAAAUUUAUUAUAUCUAUGAAAUCACUCACAAAAUUUUAUAAAUUUUUUCUUAACUUUUCACUUUUAUUUUACUUAAUCCAAACAAUCUGACUUUAUCUUUAAAUUCACUUUUUCAAAUCUACAGGGGAGUUCUCUGAAGAAGAAAUUAGGACUGCGGUUUGGAAUUGUGAAAGUUCUAAGAGCCAUGACCCUGAUGGAUUUAAUUUUGGUUUCAUAAAGUUUUGUUGGGAAAUUUUAAGGAUGGAUGUGAUGUCAGCGGUGAAGGAUUUUGCGACAAAGAGCCAUUGGCCUAGAGGUUCAAAUGCUUCCUUCCUUUGUCUUGUUCCAAAAGUUGAAAAUCCUUUGCAGCUUGGUGAGUUUAGGCAUAUUUCUUUGAUAGGAUGUUUGUAUAAAAUUAUCUCAAAAGCGUUGUCUCUACGUUUGAAAAAGGUGAUUAGCAAAGUGAUUGAUGUUAGACAGUCUGCUUUUCUUGAAGGUAGGGGUUUGUUGGACAGUGUGCUGGUAGCGAAUGAGGUGCUGGAAGAAUAUAAAAGGAAAAAGAAGAGUUGUGUGUUCUUCAAAGUUGACUAUGAAAAAGCAUAUGACUCGGUUAGCUGGGAGUUCCUAUAUUAUAUGUUGGAAAGAUUGGGUUUUUGUGCUCAAUGGAUUCGAUGGAUAAAGUGUUGUUUAGAAUCUGCUUCAGUCUCUGUAUUAGUGAAUGGCAGUCCAACUGGGGAAUUUACUCCUCGGAGGGGACUUCGUCAAGGUGACCCGCUUGCUCCGUUCCUCUUCCUUAUAGUUGCAGAAGGGUUGGCUGGGGUGUCUAGGAUGGCUGAAGAGAAGAAUUUGAUUGAUAGUCUGGAGGUUGGAAGAGAUAAGGUGAAGGUUAGUAUGUUACAAUAUGCUGACGAUACAUUAUUCUUUUGCGAAGCGAAUACCAAAAGUGUUUUUAAUAUUAAGGCUAUCUUGCUUUGCUUUGAGCUCGCUUCUGGGCUUAAGGUGAAUUUUUUAAAAAGCAGUAUUGGCGGGAUGGGGUUGGAUCAAUGUUCGCUUCAGCGUUUUGCAGCUACUCUUAACUGUAAGGUGAUGGUAACUCCUUUUGUCUAUUUAGGGUUACCGGUAGGAGGUUGCCAUAAGCGCAGUGUUUUUUGGAACGGGGUGUUAGAGAGAGUUCAGGGCAAGCUGUCGAGGUGGAAAGGCAGGUGUUUGUCGAUGGCUGGGAGGAUCUGUUUGAUUAAUUCAGUCCUCUCCUCAGUUCUGUUAUUCUUUAUGUCCCUAUUCAAACUGCCAUCUGGGGUGGCUGACAAGUUAGUUCGGAUCCAAAGAAAUUUCCUUUGGGGGUGGGGUUCUGACAGAAGGAAGAUUGCUUGGGCCUCUUGGAAUAAGGUUUGUGAGCCUCGGGACUACGGGGGUCUUGGAAUCAUUGACUUAAAGACUUUUAACCUGGCCCUGCUAGGCAAGUGGAUUUGGAGGUGGGGGUCGGCCAAGGGAGGUUUGUGGAAAGAGAUUCUUGACUCUAAAUAUGGUGGAUGGAGGAAUUUGAGAGCGGAAGGUAAACCCUGCAGGGGUUCUCUUUNNNNNNNNNNNNNNNNNNNNNNNNNNNNNNNNNNNNNNNNNNNNNNNNNNNNNNNNNNNNNNNNNNNNNNNNNNNNNNNNNNNNNNNNNNNNNNNNNNNNNNNNNNNNNNNNNNNNNNNNNNNNNNNNNNNNNNNNNNNNNNNNNNNNNNNNNNNNNNNNNNNNNNNNNNNNNNNNNNNNNNNNNNNNNNNNNNNNNNNNNACUGGUUUAAUGGUGUUUGGAUUUGGCAUUUGUGCUGGCGUAGAUCCCUCUUUGACUGGGAGAAGUUGUUGGAGGAGCAGUUGAGUCAGUUGCAGCAAGGGGUGAAGAUGGAUGUGGGAGGGGUGGAUAGCUGGGUCUGGAAGGCUGAGGGGUCUCAAAGUUUUAAUGUUAACUCAGCUUAUAGCAAGGUAAGGAGGGUUAGUGAUGGGGAGUCCUCUCCGACCUACUGUAGGUUGUGGAGGUGUAAAGCCUUGCCUUCUGCUGUAUUCUUGGCCUGGAGAGUUUUGGAAAAUAGGAUUGCAACUAGGGUUAAUUUGGUAAGGCGCGGGAUGGUGGUUGAAAAUCCUGUAUGUUGCUUGUGUGGGAAGGUCGAUGAGUCGUCGAGUCACUUGUUCGCCGUUUGUGACUUUGCUUGGAGGGUCUGGUGCCUUUACUUUGAGUGGCUUGGAGUGUCGUUCGUAAUCCAUUCGGAUCCAAUGCAAAAUUUUAUUCAAUUCAGGUUGAGUCAGGCAUCUGUUUCGGUUAAUGAUGUUUGGGGGGCAAUUUGGGUUGGAAUUGUGAGUGAAAUCUGGAAGCAUAGGAACUCGGUCGUCUUUAAUGGAGGAGUGGCAGAUGCGUUAGAAGUUUUUCCCUCAACACAAGUAAAGGUGUGGUCUUGGAUUGCUGCAAAGUCCUGCGAAGUUUAUUUUUCCUAUCCCUGUUGGGUUCUGGAUCCUUUGGCCUGUAUACGGCUGAUUCGGUAAAGCUAGUUAGCGCUUGGUUUGGUUGGUCUUUUGACCGACGGUUUUGGGUGUCGAGUUAGGAGUUAAAUUGUAUGUGUGUUUGUAAAAGGGUUGAACCACCCCUGAAGUGGUUCUCAUUUAUUGAUUUUUUAUUGCUGAUAAAAAAAAAAAAAAACUAAUCCAAACAAAGGAUUAUAGUUGAAUCGAUCUUGAAAAACAAACUUAGAAAUUAAAGGUAUUCGAAAAAGUUAGAUUUUUGUUAUGACCAAUAAGAAAAUAAAAGAUCUCAUUGACCAAAUCAAACCAAUAAAGGAAGCAUUUUCAAAACUUUUCUUACUUACAAAAAAGCUUUUAAAAAUUAUUUUAUUUUAUAUUUUUUUUCUUCUUUUCCAUUCAUUUUUGACAAAACCAAAAAAAAAUUUCCAGAACACCAUCCCAUAAUUUGAUCACCAUAUAAUUUAUUUUGGAUGAGCAUUCGCUAAAUUCAAAAAUUGAAAGUCGAAAUUAUAUUUUUGAGAAACCAAAUUUUGAUGACAUAUGGAAUGACCUUCUUCCACCCUUGGUCAUUAUCGAAAAAAAUAUCUCCAAAAUUCGGAGAAAUUUUCUUUUGAAAAUAAACCAAAAUCUCACCAUGAUCAUAAAUCAGUGCGCUACUUGGAGAAAAAAAGUCCGGUUGAGUCACUGCACACCAAUUCCCACGCUCAAGCUUUUCCACUAAAAUUGUUUGAGAAAUUGAACCACUAAAUCAAAUAGCCAAAUCACGUAAUCACCAAAUUUUCUACUAAUUCACUAAAUUGGUUAAUAACACAAGCAAAUACUGUAUUGGUUUUCAACCAAUUUGAACAAUCAACACACCAUAUUUUUUCACCAAACCUGUACAGUAAAACAACAACACAAACAUAUUUUGUUUCCUGCUCCAAAAUUUGAAUCAUAAAAUGCAGUGAAUCAUCACACAAAAUAAUUUUUUACAAAAACAUUAUCUGCAGCUUAAACCAAUACACAAAUUGCUUCAAAAACUCCACCACAAAAUCAACGCGACUUUUUACAAAUCACUAAUUCAGGAACAUAAUAACUAAACUUCUCUAUUUUUCGAAAAUUUCACAGGAUUGAACAAUUCCUAUUGGAAUUCGCACUCAAAUGGAACUCUAGUGUAGAAUUAACGCACCUCUUACUCAGCUGUCAACGUCACUGGAAUUUCACCGUUUCCAACUUCAAUUUGCUUGAGUAAUUUUUCGUUCGCACAAUACAAAUUGCUUCAAAUUCAGUUUACAAGAUUGGAUCAGAACCACCGAAAGUAAAUCACCAUUCCAAUAAUAUUCUCCGUUCACUGAUUUUAGGUCACCUUAAACUGCUAUUUCCGUUCACCGAUUCCGUUUGUCGGAAUCCGCAAGAGUUCUAUUCACAAAUCGCAAAUAAAGAAUUGCACCGAUGCGCGCCAAUGAAUUCAUUUUUGUUUCUGCCUUUUCAAUAUCGUGCCAAGAACUCCAGCAAAAUUGAUGAACACAAUGGGAAAACGUAAACCGAAAAGUAAUCAACACCAUUGUAGGGCAGUGGUCUCGAACUUGAGAAGAAGAAUGUCACCCAUAAAUUUAUAUGAUGUCAACUUCAAAGCAAUUGACCCAAUGUAGGAUGAUCUUAUGAUUAUCACGUUAGAAGUAGAGAACUUUACACUCAUGAAAAUCCUGGUGUAUCAGGGAAGCUCACUACACAUUUUCUACUGGAAAACCUUUAAAAAGUUGCAAAUCCCAGAUGUUGACAUCCAAAGCUUAUGGUGAUGAGAUAGUGUGAUUAUUGGGAGCGAGUAUAAAUAUGAAAGGUUACAUUGACUUGUUUUCUAAUUUGGGAGAAAGAAGUUUGAAAAGUCAGACUAUCAAGAUCUAAUACUUGAUAAUCGAUACAAAUACCUCAUACAACAUUCUCCUGAGAAGAUUAUCCUUAAAUAACCUAGAAGCUAUAGUGUCAACAUCAAACUUGACAAUGAGGUUCCGUUAUGCAUCCAGAGACAUCAUCACGAUCCAUGUCAACUAAAAAACCGCGAGAGAAUGCUAUGUUAUCAUCUUGAGGAUCACACCCUUAUAUCCUAGUUGAGAUUGCCAAACGACAAAUGAUUGACCUCAAUCCAUAAUAAAUGAUGAUGUAAAGGUCAAGCUUGACAAAGACACAAUCACCAUCUGAUUAAGGCACAAAGGGCAAGAAACAAGGAUAAAGACCAACCUCGUAGAAUCUGAGGCCAAGAUGAUAUAUUGGGUCCCCUUUCAAAAUGUUAACCUAUUCACAUGGACAGUCGAAAACAUGUCAGGGGUAGACCCUAAGGUGAUCUUGCACAAGUUAUUCGUGUAUAAGGAAGCUCACACAAGGUUGCAAAAGAAGACAAAAUUAGGGGAUUAGAAGCGGAAAGUUGCCAAAGAGGAGAUUGAUAAGCUUAUCAAUGUUAGAUUUAUCUAGGAAGCACGAUACACAACAUGGUUAGAAAACAUAAUUAUGGUAAAAAAAGUUAGUGAAAAAUUAAGAAUUUAUACAUACUAUAUGGACAUCAAUAAGACAUAUCCUAAAGAUGUUUGUCCCUUACAAAGUAUGAACUGCAAGAUAAAAGGUCCUCAAUUUUCUAAAUGCCUACUCACAAUAUAACCAAAUAUGAAUACACUCAAAAGAUGGGAAGAAGACGAUUUCUAUGACCAACAACACUAACUGUUUUUCUACAAGUUUGAUUCAACUUUCUAUGAACAAACGACAACAAUUUCUCAAAAAAAACUUAUGCACCCGAAAUGGAUGUUCUUGCAACUCUAACAUCUAAUGCAAAACUAAUAGUAAUGUUGUAACACACAACUAUUGAAACAAAGACUUAUUCCUAAACAUGUUUAUGAUAUUAGUCGCAAAGAUAUCUACAACACUACACUAGUUAAUAAAAAAAAUAAAAUAAAAUAUAUAUAUAUAUAUAUAUUUAUUUAUCUACGAAAGAAAAACUCAAUUUAUCUACGGAAGAAAUCUGUAAGUAACAGUCAAAAUUCGUAGGUAAAUAAGCAUUACCUACGGAAAAAAAAUCUGUAUGUAAUGUGGGCGUAGAUAAUUCAACAUCUUUUAUUAUUAAAAUUUCAAUUAUUAUUUGAUUUUUUAAUUUUUUUUUAAUUAUUAUUUACAUAUAUUAUUUAAUGCCUAUUUUUAUGAUUAUUAUUAACAAUUAUUAUAUAUGUUUUGACAAUUAUUAUUAAAAGUUAUAAGUAAACUAUAACAGGUGAGACUCGAAACCAAGUCCCUUGAAAAAUAACGAAAAAAACUUUAAUUAUUACACCAAACAAGUUUUGUUGUCAUGUUAUCAUUAUUAUUAAUAUUAUAAUAUUAAUAAUAUAUAUACUUAUUAGUUAUGAUUAUUAUUAUUUAUGAAUAUUAGUUAUGAUUUUAUAAUUAUGCAUAUGAUAAUAAUAUUUUUAAUAUUAUAUAUAUAAUUAUUAUGAUAAUAGUUGGUAGGUAAUAGAGAUCCGUGAGUAAUAGUUGGUAGGUAAUAAAUAUUCGUGGGUAAAGUUCGUAGGUAAUAAGAUCUGUGGGUAAUAAUAGUUGGUAGGUAAUGCUAAAUUUACUUACGGAUUCAGAUUUGUAGAUAAUGUUGAAUUUACAUACGAAUUAAAAUCUGUAGAUAAUAUGAUUUUUUUUGUAAUGACACCAAUUGUUAUUUAUUCAAGCUUUAUUAGUGUAGGUUUAAAGAGUUAUUUACAACCGGAUGAAAAGACUUAUUUUGAAUGUGGCGAGGAAUUGGAUUCAAGGAGGGAUCAUAACAAGACAAUCAACAUGUUGGGAGAAAGUUUCAAUUAAAAUGCAAGAAGAAUUACCAAUUUGUCAUGGAUGUAGCCUCGGACAAACAAUAUUUAAUGGUACGGUAUUUUAUAAAUGAAUAAUAUUUAAUGUUCUAUUAAUUUAUUAAUUUAUGUUGAUAAAGUCAAUAAUAUACAUUACCAUAUACUUGAAUAUUUUAAUUAUAUUCAAGUGUUAUUAAUAAACAUAUUAUGAAUUGAAUAGGAAAAAUAUUUCAAUUCAGUAACCAAUUGGAGUGCAUUUAUGCAUACUUUUCGAUUCAUGUUUAGCCUAUAGUGAAUAUGUGAAUUUGAGAGGCUAGUUCAUAGAUUCAACUUUUGUAGAUGUAUGACUAAUUUCUUAACCUAAAAGUUGUUAAUUAUCUAAAUCUUAUUCCACUUUAUGUAUACUUGUAACUAACAAUUUUAUGAGAUUUUUUAUUAACAAUAAAAAAUAUUUAAAUUAAAUAAAUUAUUUAGUGAUGCAAUCCAUAUACAAAACUUCACUUAUAAAAUUGUCUUUGUAAAAUACCUAUUCAAACAAAAUGCAUAUGGCUCUCACAUAAGAACCCAAAAUAAAACUUAGGACAACCCACAACCAUUAUUGGAGCCUUGCCUAUAUGCUACAUAUUCAACAUACCACAGUGGUAAGCAACAGUAGAAAAAAUAAGACUAUAAGGUCUUAGUCCUAAGCAUAAAUGUGGCUCUGUAUAUAGAUUUUACAUAAGAUUUCAAAUAGAUUUACAAGUUUUAAUUUAUUAAAAUAUAUAAAUCAUUUGAAUCAAAUUAAAGUUGACUAAAUCUAUAAUAAUAAUUUACGUCGAUCUAAAUUUUGAAAACUAAAUUCAUGUUUACAAAAUACUUAAUAUUAGAAAAAUAUAAAUCAUGAUGCCUUAAAAGCAUUUUUUUUUGUAUUUAAUCAAUUGUCUAAACCAAUAUUAAUCAAAUAAAUUAUCAACUAUUAAUGAAAUAUUUAGAACAGAUAAAUAAUAAUUUUGUAAACAUAUUUAAUUAAAUCAAAUCAAUAUAACAUGUUUAAAAUAUAAAUUGUUUGAAUGUACAUGACAAUGUUUGUAAUUAUUAUAUAUAUUUUUUACAAAUACACAGAAAUGUGACGACUCAUAUUGAUUUUUUUAAAACUAAAAAUUAAUAACAAAUAUAUUAAGAAUUACAAUAUAAAAAAUUUAAGUUAAAUCCAUUUACUACAAGACGAUAUUGUUAUGGCACUAAAGGAUAUAAAGGACUUUGCAUGGAUACCUAGAUGGAAACCACCAAUUGGGAAAAUGAAAAUAAACGUAGAUGGAAGCUAUGAUUUAUCACUCAGUACAUAUUGUCACAGGGAAGUCUAGAUAUAGGGAUCAAAAUUCUAUGUAGGUCUUUGGCUUUUCUUCUUGUAAUACAUCCAAAGCGGAAAUUUUGGUCAUUUUGCAUGUAAUUCAUAUGUAACAACUAUUUUAGAAUAUAAUAACAUGUCCUUGUAUUACAUAGUUCACUACAAAAUACAAAAUAAAUAAUAUAAACAAGUAAAAUAUCAUGGACAACCAAAUGUUUAGAAUAAGAAGAUGGAUACAAAUAAGCAAUGUUAUGUAUUGGAGAGUAGUAUAUACUUUACCAGUAAAUAAUUUCAACAUUGAAUAUAUCUAGCUAGAGUUGAUUGUUUGAUCCUGUGUCACUGUUUCAUCUGGAAAUAGAAUAGGUUUUGGAGGUAUUUCCAAGUCUUCAAUAUCUCCUUCAAGCAUUUCCACUACUCUAUUCAUUGAGGGUCGAUCAUUUGGUUUUAGUUGUAUACACCAUAGUGCAACUAUGAUCAUCUUCUUUGCUAUUUUAUUUUCUUCUUCUGUCACAUCUUCAAUAUCUGCAUCUUUCUCUUCCCUAAUAUGAUCAUAGAUCCAAAGGGGAAAGUAAAGUUGACUUGAGUGAUCUGCAUGAGGAUUUAGAUUCUUUCUCUUACUUGUCAUCUCCAUCAACAACAUUCCGAAGCUAUAAACAUCAGCCUUAUGGGAUAUUCCUCCAAUAUUUUUAUAAAACAAUUCAGGAGCCAUAUAUCCAAUGGUUCCUCUUGCUACAGUCAUUGUGACAAUGCUAUUAUCUAUUGGAUAUAACUUUGCCAAUCCAAAGUCAGAAACCUUAGGGAUGAAGUUUUCAUCUAGUAAGAUGUUAUGAGGUUUAAUGUCAAAAUGCAAAAUCUGCAUCUCACACCCAUGGUGGAGAUAAGCAAUCCCACGAGCCACUCCGAUUGAUAUAUUAUAUAUCUUUUCAUAGCUUAAAUGUAUAUUUCUCUCUUUUGAGAAAAUAAAUUUAUCAAGAGAUCCAUUGGGCAUGAAUUCAUAAACAAGAGCACGUUUUGAGCCACUAACACAAAAUCCAAUUAAUUGUACCACAUUUUGAUGAUGUAUUCUUCCAAUGGUUGCAACUUCACUGAUAAAAUCUUGUCCAUUUCCUUUGGAUUCGUUCAAUAUUUUGAUGGCCACAGAAGGUCCACUGCGCAACUUUGCCUUAAAAACAGAGCCAAAUCCUCCUUCACCUAACUUCUCUUUGAAACCUGCAACCAUCUUCUUGAUUUCCUUGAAUGAAUAUCUAAUAGGUGCAAAGCUAUUUUGUUCAAGGUAAUUUUCAAUAUUUUCAUACAUUGACAUAUGUCUUUUUCUCCAUUUACAUAUAAAAAUAACAAUUAAGAAUGGCAAUCCAAACAAAACUUUGUAAGCCCAUACCAUAAGAAUAAUUUGUUGGAGAUAUCCUGCAAGAAAUUUUUACUUGGGUGAUUACACAUGGUAUUGUAAAAUGAAAUAAAUUAUUUGUUAAAGUAUUUUUUGUUCAC